AGCGAACGCUGGCGGUAUGCCUAACACAUGCAAGUCGAACGGCAGCACAGUAAGUGCUUGCUCUUACGGGUGUCGAGUGUCGGACGGGUGAGGUAUGCAUCGGAUUCUACUUUUUCGGGGGGGAUAAUGUAGGAAAACGUACUCUAAUACAGCAUACGACCUCCUUGGGUAGGCAGGGGAUCGUCUAACCUGUCGCUAUGGAAUGAGCCGAUGUCGGAUUAGCUAGUUGGCGGGGUAAAGGCGCACCAAGGCGACGAUGGGUAGAUGGUCUGAGAGAGUGAACACACACAUGGGAACUGAGGCAGGGCAGACACUCCUAGGGGAGGCAGCAGUCCGGAAUAUUACGCAAGGGGGGCAAGGCUGAUACAGCAAUACCGCGUGAGUGCUGAACGCCUUCGGGUGGGAAAGCCAUUUAGUUGGGAAAGAAGAGCAGCAGUUUUAUACGCCGCUAUAAUGACGGUACCGAAAGAAUAAGCACCGGCUAACUUCGUG
rnacentral:rRNA from 1 species